UAUGGACGGCAGCGUCUUCUCACUGUGAUUUUCACAGUGAGAAGCGCCUCUAGUGGCGGUCUCUGAAACUGCUAUGUUUACAGCUGCAGGGUUAACCCUAGAUGGACCUGGCACCCAGACCACUUUGUUGAGCUGAAGUGGUUUGGGUGCCUAUAGUGGUCCUUUAAUUUGGCAUCAAGAUCACCAAGAAAAGGCCUACUAAAAUAAAAAUGACGGUUUAAAGUUAUACAAACUGUACAGACAAAUUUAGUUUUAGGUACAUCUACAAUUAAUCUAUAUCAGGGGAAGGGAACCUCGCACCCCUGUUCUUGAGGACUACAUCUCCACUGAUCCUUUGCCAGAAUUAUGGCUGAUCUAGCUCACAACAUCUAGAGUGCCAAAGGUUAGCCAACACCUGAUCUAUACACUGCCCUAUUGAAAAAGGUCAGCAACUGCAUAGAUUAACAGAUAUACCCAUAUCAAGCUUUCUUCUUCCAGCUCCAAGACAAUGAGCAUUAUUUGUGAGAUGGGCAGAUGUUUACAAAUGUUGGCAACCAUAGGCUAAUGCAGUCUUAACUCUAUACUAAUG